GACGAACGCUGGCGGCGUGCUUAACACAUGCCAGUCGAACGGAAAGGCCCUGCUUUUGUGGGGUGCUCGAGUGGCGAACGGGUGAGUAACACGUGAGUAACCUGCCCUUGACUUUGGGAUAACUUCAGGAAACUGGGGCUAAUACCGGAUAGGAGCUCCUGCUGCAUGGUGGGGGUUGGAAAGUUUCGGCGGGUGGGGAUGGACUCGCGGCUUAUCAGCUUGUUGGUGGGGUAGUGGCUUACCAAGGCUUUGACGGGUAGCCGGCAUGGGAGGGUGACCGGGCACAUUGGGACUGAGAUACGGCCCAGACUCCUACGGGAGGCAGCAGUGGGGAAUAUUGCACAAUGGGCGGAAGCCUGAUGCAGCAACGCCGCGUGCGGGAUGACGGCCUUCGGGUUGUAAACCGCUUUCGCCUGUGACGAAGCGUGAGUGACGGUAAUGGGUAAAGAAGCACCGGCUAACUACGUG
rnacentral:rRNA from 1 species